UGCAGUAUAUUGACUGUACAAAGGUAGCAUAAUCAUUAGUCUCUUAAAUGGUGACUUGUAUGAAAGAUUGGAUGAAAUGUAGACUGUCUCUUAUUUAAUUAAUAGAAUUUAAUUUUUUUAUAAAAAAGUAAAAAUAUUUUUAAAAGACGAGAAGACCCUAUAGAGUUUUAUAAUUAAAUUUAUUAAUAUUUAUUUAUAAAAUUUAAAAUUUAUAUAAAUUUAAUUAUUUUGUUGGGGUGAUAAAAAAAUUAAAAUAACUUUUUUUUUAUAAAAACAAAAAUAAGUGAAUUUUUUGAUCCAGAAUUUUUGAUUAAAAGAAAAAAUUACCUUAGGGAUAACAGCGUAAUAUUUUCUUUUAGUUCAUAUAAAAGAAAAAGUUUGCGACCUCGAUGUUGGAUUAAGAUAAAAUUUAAAUGCAAAAGUUUAAAAUUUUGAUCUGUUCGAUCAUUAAAAUCUUACGUGAUCUGAGUUCA
rnacentral:rRNA from 1 species